CACAUGCAGCAAAACAUGGGAACAGGUUCACAGGUUGGCCAGUUCAUACGGUCCAGGGAACAUGAAAGUCCCGUUGCAGCCUCAGCUGCUCCAGGAUGGCAGUUUGGUAAGUGUUCUUCUCCUGUUUUCUUUGGGAGAGGCGUGUCUGCACCUAAAAUAUGUCUUUUUCGUUGUGCUUCCCGGCAGGAAUGAAUUUCAUGAAUUACUUGUUUAGCAAGACCUUGUUUACCAAGUUAACCUUGUUGCCUUGAUGUUUUGUGCUUUUCACACAGCUGGGUGUGCUUGUCUUGUCUGAUUUCCCUGUUUAAGGCCACAACAGCAGUCAUCGCCUUGGAACGCUUGUGCACAUGUCCAACUCCUUAACCACUGCACCACCUUCUGGCCCUGAAGAUAAGCUGCAGCUGCGAUCAUCUGUGAUUGGGUCCAAGGCAACUUGCUUCUUUGAGGCAUGCAGUUGGAAUGUGCUUCAGUGUGGUCUUGGUGACACACAGCCGCACGUGGCUUGUAGGGAGUGUAUCCUGUCGGACUUUCUUGGCAGCAGAUCAAGGUGGACCUGAAAGCGGCACUCUGGGGCGUGUGUGUGCAGCGUCGAGACACAGCCCUCAUUAGCGGGCUCAGCAGCCUCCGACGACAUGCUUUAAAAACGGGUCUACAUUUCUGCCAUUGUCGUAGGUGGUAGCUGAGGGAUUUCCUGCUUUUUGGAUACCGCUGCAAUUAAAGGCAAGGAAGAGGACACAGCUGGAAAAGGUGUCUUUGAGAGAUACUCCCUUCAGCUCGAAAUAGCGCCCCCUGGUGCUAGGAGGCAACCGACAAGUGUCCGGGGUCUUGGAUUGCCUCUGAAUUAGCGUUUGUGAAGGAUGAGGGUCAGUUUCAUAGUAUCAAAUACUAUACUGACAAGACUAUGAAUCUCAUUAAUAUCAAAAACAAGCUGGAUAAACUGUAUGAUUAAAUACCUAUGUGAAAAUCACUCAGUCUGCAUACGCAAUAAACAAACAUCACUGGA